AGAGUUUGAUCCUGGCUCAGAACGAACGCUGGCGGCGGGCCUCAUACAUGCAAGUCGAGCGCGAAAGUCCGCAAGGAUGAGUAAAGCGGCGCACGGGUGAGUAACACGUGGAUAAUCUACCCUUUGGAUUGGAAUAACCUGUCGAAAGACGGGCUAAUGCCGAGUAAGCCCUCGGGAGCGUGAAGCUCCUGCGGGGAAAGAUGGCGCAAGCUAUCGCCGAUGGAUGAGUCUGCGUCCCAUUAGUUAGUUGGUGAGGUAACGGCUUACCAAGACAAUGAUGGGUACCUGGUCUGAGAGGAUGACCAGGCACACUGGAACUGAAACACGGUCCAGACUCCUACGGGAGGCAGCAGUAGGGAAUAUUGCGCAAUGGACGAAAGUCUGACGCAGCCACGCCGCGUGAGUGAGGAAGGCCUUCGGGUUGUAAAGCUCUGUCGCCUGGGAAAAACGGCUAUCUGGGGAAAGUUCAGGUAGCGUGAUGGUACCAGGAGAGGAAGCAC
rnacentral:rRNA from 1 species